rnacentral:misc_RNA from 1 species
GAUGAAGAACGCAGCGAAAUGCGAUAAGUAAUGUGAAUUGCAGAAUUCAGUGAAUCAUCGAAUCUUUGAACGCACAUUGCGCCCUUUGGUAUUCCGAAGGGCAUGUCUGUUCGAGCGUCAUUUCACCACUCAAGCCUGGCUUGGUAUUGGGCGCCGCGGUCGAUCCGCGCGCCUCAAAGUCUCCAGCUGAGCUGUCCGUCUCUAAGCGUUGUGAUUUCAUUAAUCGCUUCGGAGUGCGGGCGGCCGCGGCCGUUAAAUCUUUCACAAGGUUGACCUCGGAUCAGGUAGGGAUACCCGCUGAACUUAAGCAUAUCAAUAAGCGGAGGA